CACGGGGGGAGCAAGCGUUGUUCGGAAUCACUGGGCGUAAAGGGCGUGUAGGCGGUCAAGUAAGUGGAAUGUGAAAUCCCCCGGCUUACCCGGGGACCGGCAUCCCAUACUGCUUGGCUUGAGUACGGGAGAGGAUGUGGGAAUUCCUGGUGUAGCGGUGAAAUGCGUAGAUAUCAGGAGGAACACCGGUGGCGAAGGCGGCCCUCUGGACGGUGACUGACGCUGAGACGCGAAAGCGUGGGGAGCAAACAGG
rnacentral:rRNA from 1 species